rnacentral:rRNA from 1 species
UACGUAGGGGGCAAGCGUUGUCCGGAAUCAUUGGGCGUAAAGAGCGUGUAGGCGGCCCGAUAAGUCCGCUGUGAAAGUCCAGGGCUCAACCCUGGAAUGCCGGUGGAUACUGUCGGGCUCGAAUCCGGAAGAGGUGAGUGGAAUCCCUGGUGUAGCGGUGAAAUGCGUAGAUAUCGGGAGGAACACCAGUGGCGAAGGCGGCUACCUGGCCCACUCUUGACGCUGAGGCGCGAAAGCUAGGGGAGCAAACGGG